rnacentral:rRNA from 1 species
UACAGAGGGUGCGAGCGUUAAUCGGAAUUACUGGGCGUAAAGCGUGCGUAGACGGUAGCGUAAGUCGGGUGUGAAAGCCCCGGGCUCAACCUGGGAAUGGCAAUGGAUACUGGCAAGCUAGAGUGCGGUAGAGGGUAGUGGAAUUCCCGGUGUAGCGGUGAAAUGCGUAGAGAUCGGGAGGAACACCAGUGGCGAAGGCGGAUCUCUGGGCCGUAACUGACGCUGAGGAGCGAAAGCAUGGGGAGCGAACAGG